rnacentral:rRNA from 1 species
UACGUAGGGUGCAGGCGUUAAUCGGAAUUACUGGGCGUAAAGCGUGCGCAGGCGGUCUGCUAAGAGAGAUGUGAAAUCCCCGGGCUUAACCUGGGAACUGCGUUUCUAACUGGCAGGCUUGAGUGUGGCAGAGGGGGGUGGAAUUCCACGUGUAGCAGGUGAAAUGCGUAGAGAUGGUGGAGGAACACCGAUGGCGAAGGCAGCCCCCUGGGCUAACACUGACGCUCGAU